GGGAAUAAUUUGUAAAUUCAUGCAUUGUCCAAUUUAUUGUUGGGUGCUACACAGCUUACCAGUCAGAUAUAAUGAUAAUAGCACUAAUUGUGUGGUCAUUGCUUUGUUUUUUAAAUGUGUAGAGAGACACCCCUCCCCCCUUUAUCAUUGUAAUGCACAUGCUUCUGCUUUUGUUUUCCUCCUUUUCUUCACUAUGUUUCCAUUUUAUGAAAACUGAAGAAAGGAUUGAAGUUUUGUUUAUUCAGAGAGAAGUAAAAAAUAGGUGAACAAACGUAUCCUCCCAUAUUCUUUUUGUACUUGAGGGAAGAGGUUUUUGAGCUAUGGUGUCAAUUGUAAUUAACAGGUACAUGUAUAUUAGAAGAAACAUGUAAUGUUAAAUGAUUAAGAUGAAUAAUGAAUUGUAGAUGCAUUUAUUUUAUUUUUUUUUAUUUUGUGAAAUAAUAUUUUUGAACUCUGCAUAUGCUUGAAUGACAAUACAAUAGGUACACAGGAUAUUGAGGUUUGAAUGUAAAUCUAAGCUGCUUUGGUUUGAUCAGUCAUUGUUGUCGACAUUUUUCACUGUAUUUCGUCAGCUGCAUUAUUAAGUUAUGCCGAUUUGCAUGCUAAUUUGUUUGGUGUUUUUGAUGGAAUGUGUUAUGGACCAGCUGCUUAGCAGAUUACUGGAAGUGUAUGACAAAUGGUCAGAGGAAUCCAUUGUUUCCAUUUGCACUUGUAACAUUAUUAUAAAAUUUUGUUUCCAUUUAACUGUACAUACGUGAGUGGUAAUUAUUGAAUGUAUGUGUGAAUAUGAGGCCAAAGGUACAUGUGUGGUGAUUUAUCUUUGUAUUCAAAUGCUGAAUGCAUGAUUAAAUGAAAAUUGUACAAAUGUUUUUAUCCGUGAUGAGUUAUCAUCUACAACAGAAGAAAGGAAGGGGGUUAAAGAAAGAGAUGAUCAAUAGAUGUAAAUUAUAAUCACAUAUCAUUAUAGAUUGCUGCCAUAACAAAUUUCACUCGAGUUGGGCAAGAAAUAUUGUAAACUGGUUUUUUUUAAUGAUCUAUACUCUGUUUAAUGCCCAUUCUUUCUUUAGAUUUGGAAGUUUGAAUCAAGUUUUUAAUAGAUUAAACAAUCAUCAAGAUUUCAUAUUGAUUUGUGUGAUUGUUAUUUAAGUGUUGUUGCUCAUAUACUAUAUUAUAACUAUACACAUGUGGGUUUUAAUUUUAUGUUUAUGAUUUUUUUUCAGAAGUUGUUAUUUAUGUAUUGUUUAAUAUAAAGUACAAUGUAUUUAAUUCUUUGAUAUGUGAAGUUAAAAAUUAAAUGAUACUUAGAACUGAUUGCUAGAAGUAAUAGUGUUACUGCAAUAAACUUUAAGAUACAUUCCCUUUUGGGCUAAUCAAGGCAUUUGAGGAUAUUUUAUAGGUAUAUUUAUUGUAAUCUAUAAGUAAAAGCCAUUUUCAUGGUAUGUUCAUAAAAUGUAUGCCCUUUUUGAAUUUUUUUUUCAGUUUUUAUUUUGAGAAAAGUCGAAACAUGUAAACAUUGCUCAUGUUAAAAUGUGUUUUACUAAAUAAUGAGUAUUAUUAAAAUCAAAAGCCCACCAUCCCUUUGUGACUUGGAACAACAUGUUGUUUAUUUAAAAGAUGCAGAUAUUUCCAUCAUGUGUUAUAUUGUUUGCACAUUCCUGAGUCACAUGAAGGAUAUAUAUUACAAGUGAAACAUUUCUGUGCAAUUUAAUUGUGUUGGUAUGAUUGUCAAAAAAUGAUUUAUCUUCAGAUAAUAAAUUUU
rnacentral:misc_RNA from 1 species